ACCUGAAUCUAGCUCCAAUAAACUUUAUUUAACUAAGUGGAACCAAACAGGAAAAGGCCGAGGACCUACCUUUACAGUUAUGUGAAUAAAUUAUCAGCAGGAGUUGUUUUUAGUGCUCUCCAUCCUAUUGGACAAAAGAGUACCACGUGACUAGAAGUAAAUGGGGGUGUUUUCCUGUUUUAGGCUGAUUUAGUUUAAUUUUCCGCAACGGACCAAUACUAAAACGAGCAGAACUCAAUAAAACACCAUCUCUGUUUUAUGUUAGAGCUUUGAGAAAAGUUAAAGUUUGUGAACCGUGAGUCAAACUAAGGUCGGUGAGAAUGAGGUGGUUUCCUCCAACAAUAAUAUGACAUCGCUUCUCGGCCUUUUGGCUAAGAUCAAGUGUAGUAUCUGUUCUUAUCAGUUUAAUAUCUGAUACGUUCCCUAUCUGGGAACCAUAUAUUAAAUGGAUUUUUGUAUCAGGGAUACGGAAUAGGGGCUUGCUCCUUCCGCUCCAAGCAUCGACCUGGUAUUGCAUUAUUUCCGGGAACGGUGCACUUCCACAUGGACAGACCCUCUGGAAACAAAGAACCUGGUACCGGACCCGUCCUACAGCGACGUGCUGGAGAACCUGAGGCAGCUUCUGCAGAAAUGGCAGUGGAAGACAGGAGACCCCUGGGUCUGUGGACCAGACUACGUCCUGAAGGAGAAACUGGAGCCACAUUGCAGACCCCUCUACAACAGGCUCUGAUAGACUCUGAUGGUAUUUUCUUCCAUCCUGAUUGAUAUAAAAACAUUUAAGUGCUAUUUUUCUUAAUCUUACAUUCAUUUGGUUUUUAUAUUUUUGUAAUAGAGAGCAGCUUUAAAAUAACAAGAAAUAAAACAUUCUGGGUUGUUUUUAAUCAUUA